rnacentral:rRNA from 1 species
AUUGAACGCUGGCGGAAUGCUUUACACAUGCAAGUCGAACGGUAGAGGGGGCAACCCCUCGAGAGUGGCGAACGGGUGAGUAAUAUAUCGGAACGUGCCCAGUCGUGGGGGAUAACGUAGCGAAAGUUACGCUAAUACCGCAUACAAUCUAAGGAUGAAAGCGGGGGAUCGCAAGACCUCGCGCGAUUGGAGCGGCCGAUAUCAGAUUAGGUAGUUGGUGGGGUAAAGGCUCACCAAGCCAACGAUCUGUAGCUGGUCUGAGAGGACGACCAGCCACACUGGAACUGAGACACGGUCCAGACUCCUACGGGAGGCAGCAGUGGGGAAUUUUGGACAAUGGACGCAAGUCUGAUCCAGCCAUUCCGCGUGCAGGAUGAAGGCCCUCGGGGUGUAAACUGCUUUUGUACGGAACGAAAAGGUCUCUCUUAAUACGGGGGACUCAUGACGGUACCGUAAGAAUAAGCACCGGCUAACUACGUGCCAGCAGCCGCCGCGG